UGUUGGUAGUAAGUAAAAUUUAUGAAAUCAUAAAAUUUUGGCGGUAUUUUAAGCUUGUUAGAGGAAUUUGCUCUAUAAUGGAUACAACGCCUAUAUCUUACUUAAUUUUGUAAUUAAAGUCAGUUUGUAUACCACUAUAUUUAAUUAUAUUGAAUAAUUAUAUUUAAGAUUUUUAUAUAAAUAUAUAUUAAGUCAAGGUGCAACAAAUAAUUAUGAGUGAAGUGAAUUACAUUAAUUUUAAUGAUAUUUUGAUACUGAAAAAAAAAGUUAGGAUUUAAUAGUAAAAUAUUAAU
rnacentral:rRNA from 1 species